CAAAUAUAUUAAAUAUUAUUAAUGUAGGUAAUGAAUUCAUAGAAAUAUUAAUACAUACUUGAGGCAUGGGAGCAAGGGAUAGAGUUUCAUUUGGAGAGAGAAGCAAGGAGGCCAGUUGGACUGGAGAGCCUGGGCCAUAGGAGAGAAGUAGAGGGUAAUGCUACAAUGAGGAGGAUGCUGGAGAGUACAUUAUCUAGAAAUGAGCUUGACCACUCAGCCAGGAAGAAGAGACCUAAGGAAGAGAGAGGGCCUUGGGGAACAAGCAUCUCCAAGUGAAAAAGUGUGGCCUCUAGUCUUGGUGCCAUCUUCAUCAUCUACUUUGGACCCAUGGAAGCACAUGACAUGUAUACAAUGGGGCCUCUGCUGCUUCAUCUUUAAAAUAAGACAAACUCCGAAUAACCCUCUCUCUCGAAUCCCAUGAUCCUAGGAGUUUCUUCCCUAGCAAAACAAAGGCUAAACGAUCCAUAAGUCCCCAUUCGAGCCCUAAACCUUCUCAUCCAAGCUUGCACGAGAAACAUUUUUCAAAUCAACAAAUGGAGCACGUUGUUGGUGGAUUCCUCUCGCUAGACUCUACACAGUUGGUGAAGGAGUUAAAAAGCCCUGUGGGUCACCAUGUGCCCCGAAGCCAUUGCACCAAAGGAUCCAAGAGCAAAUGGCCCUGAACCGGUAAUUAGAAGGGGCUCCAACCCGGCUCUCAAGAGGAGAAUGCCUCCUUAGCUCAAGAUGUUUUUUGUCCUGGCACAGAUGAGUCUAUUGUGUUGGCUCAGUGACCCAACUCUGCUGCCUUUUCAGAAUGUCAAGUUCAUGGGCCCCAUAGUACAGAAGCCUUUGAGAACCUCGCUCAUAUUUUUCACUCAGUGAAUACACCCAUUAUUGCCAAUGCUCCAGGCCAAAGGACUGGAGCAAUACUAGGGUUCAAAGGAUUUUUUCCCACUGAAUUCCUAUUUAUAGCCUUGGGAAAGCAGCUGAUGUGUCUUUAUAGACUCAGAACUGGAGUGAAAUUAUGAACUCAUAGAAUGGUGAGCUCCAUCUAUUCCAACUCCCUCAUUUUAUAGAGGAGAAGACAGAGGCCCGGGAAGGGGAAGUCACACGAGGAGUGUAUAACAGAGCCAAAGCCUGAACUCGAGGCUCCUGCUUCCUGUCCUGAGGAUCCUUUUGCCUGUGUACCCCUGUCUUGUGGGCCAAAGAUCCUGGAAGAGCCACAAAAGUUGUAUUUGAACCAAGCGUUAGUAUGAUUAUUCAGAAAUGGAGGGGGGGCAUCUGGAAUGAGUUUGGGGCAAAAGCCCAGCCCACUGUGGGACACCUGUGAUGCAUUAAAGCCCAGAGCCCUGGACCAGCUUGGUGCAUUUGAGAAGCAAAGAAUACUAACCUGUGAGAAUGUAACUGGAGAAGGGAGAUUUCAGAGAGGGGAGCCGGCCAGA
rnacentral:lncRNA from 1 species